CUAUAAUCUGUCCAGAUAACCCUCCCUUCUCUUCUCAAAGCCGAUCUCACCCUCCCUUCUCUUCUCAAAGCCGAUCUCCCUCCACAGACCCCGAUAUUCCAGCACCUCCUCCCUACUCUGACCGAUCUCCUCCCUCCUCUCUCCUCUCACCGAUCUCCUCCCUCCUUUCUCCUCUGGCGACCACGGAUGACGUCUCCUCUGUGGUGCCGAUUUGUUUGAUUUUGUGGGUGUUCAUAGAGUUCACCAGCGAAUCAAACGAAAAUUGAGCCCAAGGAUGGAAGAAUACGACACAAGCUUCUAUUAAGGGAAAUAAUGGAUUUUGUUACAACAAUAUAGUCUGUCAAAUACAUAGGAUUAACAAGAUCAAGGUAGUUCGGGGGGAAGAGGUGUGGGGCAUAAAAGUGGAGAAAAGCUGCAGAAAUUCCUAAAUCACAAAAUUUAGCUAUUGAUUAUUUCUCCACACAAAACCCAAAAGUUUCACUACAUAAGAAAUCCAUAAAAAUUAAAAAAUAAAAUCUAGAAGUUUCAGAGAAUACACAUCACUAUUUUGUGUCGCUAAACUCCACCCUCUAGCAAUGGAGCUCAACUUAGCUUCAUAAAAGAUCAAACCAAAGCAU